rnacentral:rRNA from 1 species
GUCCACACUGUAAACGAUGAUAACUAGGUGUGGGGGUCUGACCCCUUCCGUGCCGCAGCUAACGCAAUAAGUUAUCCACCUGGGGAGUACGACCGCAAGGUUGAAACUCAAAGGAAUUGACGGGGACCCGCACAAGCAGUGGAUUAUGUGGUUUAAUUCGAAGCAACGCGAAGAACCUUACCAGCACUUGACAUCCGACUAACGAAGUAGAGAUACAUUAGGUGCCCUUCGGGGAAAGUCGAGACAGGUGGUGCAUGGUUGUCGU